rnacentral:rRNA from 1 species
UACGUAGGGGGCAAGCGUUGUCCGGAAUCACUGGGCGUAAAGCGCGCGCAGGCGGUCAUCUACGUCUGGGGUGAAAGCCCGGAGCUCAACUCCGGGAUUGCCUUGGAUACGGGAUGACUUGAGGAUCGGAGAGGCAAGGGGAAUUCCACGUGUAGCGGUGAAAUGCGUAGAGAUGUGGAGGAACACCUGUGGCGAAGGCGGGUCUCUGGGCCGAUACUGACGCUGAGGAGCGAAAGCGUGGGGAGCAAACAGG